AAAUUUCUCUCGCUCUCCCAUCGUAGUGUCUUCACAGCAACCGCAUUGUCUCCCUCGUCCACGCCUUUGUCGCACUUGUGCUUUGCAUGCUCUCUCUCCAUGACUGGCAGCGGCCCUUCCCUUGCCUUGCCCACGCAGGUGAGAGGAAGAAAUUCUCACACCUGAAAGAAAGAUGAGAUCUUCGGAGCAAUCAAGGUAUCAUCUACGAUUUCUUGUGCUGUCUUAUGAAAAGCCUCACUCUUUCUAGUUUUAGCUGGCUUUAGUUGGGGAUUUCGGCCUUAACGUUGCUCCAGUUUUACUCGGACGCAUUUCAGCCAUAUCCCCUCAAAAGGGAGAGUAACAAACCUCCAUCUCUCAUGAACACGGUAAACCAGCUUCUUUCUCUUCCAACACAACGAC
rnacentral:lncRNA from 1 species